rnacentral:rRNA from 2 species
UUAAGUUAUUAAGGGCGCACGGUGGAUGCCUUGGCACUAGAAGCCGACGAAGGACGUUACUAACGACGAUAUGCUUUGGGGAGCUGUAAGUAAGCUUUGAUCCAGAGAUUUCCGAAUGGGGAAACCCGGCACGAGUUAUGUCGUGUUAUCGAUAUGUGAAUACAUAGCAUAUCUGAAGGCAGACGCGGAGAACUGAAACAUCUUAGUACCCGCAGGAAGAGAAAGAAAAAUCGAUUCCCUGAGUAGCGGCGAGCGAAACGGGAAGAGCCCAAACCAAUGAGCUUGCUUGUUGGGGUUGUAGGACACUCUAUACGGAGUUACAAAAGAACAGACUAGACGAAUCAUCUGGAAAGAUGAAUCAAAGAAGGUAAUAAUCCUGUAGUCGAAAGUUUGUUCACUCUUGAGUGGAUCCUGAGUACGACGGAACACGAGAAAUUCCGUCGGAAUCUGGGAGGACCAUCUCCCAAGGCUAAAUACUCUCUAGUGACCGAUAGUGAACCAGUACCGUGAGGGAAAGGUGAAAAGUACCCCGGAAGGGGAGUGAAAUAGAACUUGAAACCGUGUGCUUACAAGUAGUCAGAGCCCGUUAAUGGGUGAUGGCGUGCCUUUUGUAGAAUGAACCGGCGAGUUACGAUUUGAUGCAAGGUUAAGCAGUGAAUGUGGAGCCGUAGCGAAAGCGAGUCUGAAUAGGGCGUUGAGUAUUUGGUCGUAGACCCGAAACCAGGUGAUCUACCCAUGACCAGGUUGAAGUUCAGGUAACACUGAAUGGAGGACCGAACCGACUUACGUUGAAAAGUGAGCGGAUGAGUUGUGGGUAGCGGAGAAAUUCCAAUCGAACCUGGAGAUAGCUGGUUCUCUCCGAAAUAGCUUUAGGGCUAGCCUCAAGUGAUGAUUAUUGGAGGUAGAGCACUGUUUGGACGAGGGGCCCUUAUCGGGUUACCGAAUUCAGACAAACUCCGAAUGCCAAUCAAUUUAACUUGGGAGUCAGAACGCGGGUGAUAAGGUCCGUGUUCGAAAGGGAAACAGCCCAGACCACCAGCUAAGGUCCCAAAAUAUAUGUUAAGUGGAAAAGGAUGUGGCGUUGCCCAGACAACUAGGAUGUUGGCUUAGAAGCAGCCAUCAUUUAAAGAGUGCGUAAUAGCUCACUAGUCGAGUGACACUGCGCCGAAAAUGUACCGGGGCUAAACAUAUUACCGAAGCUGUGGAUUGUCCGUAAGGACAAUGGUAGGAGAGCGUUCUAAGGGCGUUGAAGCAUGAUCGCAAGGACAUGUGGAGCGCUUAGAAGUGAGAAUGCCGGUGUGAGUAGCGAAAGACGGGUGAGAAUCCCGUCCACCGAUUGACUAAGGUUUCCAGAGGAAGGCUCGUCCGCUCUGGGUUAGUCGGGUCCUAAGCUGAGGCCGAUAGGCGUAGGCGAUGGAUAACAGGUUGAUAUUCCUGUACCACCAUUAUUCGUUUUAAGCGAUGGGGGGACGCAGUAGGAUAGGCGAAGCGUACGAUUGGAUUGUACGUCCAAGCAGUGAGAUUGAGUGUUAGGCAAAUCCGGCACUCUUAAGAUUGAGCUGUGAUGGGGAGAGGAAAUUGUUUCCUCGAGUCGUUGAUUUCACACUGCCAAGAAAAGCCUCUAGCUAGAAUUGUGGUGCCCGUACCGCAAACCGACACAGGUAGUCAAGAUGAGAAUUCUAAGGUGAGCGAGCGAACUCUCGUUAAGGAACUCGGCAAAAUGACCCCGUAACUUCGGGAGAAGGGGUGCUCUUUAGGGUUAACGCCCAGGAGAGCCGCAGUGAAUAGGCCCAAGCGACUGUUUAUCAAAAACACAGGUCUCUGCUAAACCGUAAGGUGAUGUAUAGGGGCUGACGCCUGCCCGGUGCUGGAAGGUUAAGAGGAGUGGUUAGCUUCUGCGAAGCUACGAAUCGAAGCCCCAGUAAACGGCGGCCGUAACUAUAACGGUCCUAAGGUAGCGAAAUUCCUUGUCGGGUAAGUUCCGACCCGCACGAAAGGCGUAACGAUUUGGGCACUGUCUCAACGAGAGACUCGGUGAAAUCAUAGUACCUGUGAAGAUGCAGGUUACCCGCGACAGGACGGAAAGACCCCGUGGAGCUUUACUGUAGUCUGAUAUUGAAAUUCGGCACAGCUUGUACAGGAUAGGUAGGAGCCUGAGAUACGUGAGCGCUAGCUUACGUGGAGGCGUUGGUGGGAUACUACCCUCGCUGUGUUGGAUUUCUAACCCGCACCAUUUAUCAUGGUGGGAGACAGUGUCAGAUGGGCAGUUUGACUGGGGCGGUCGCCUCCUAAAGAGUAACGGAGGCGCUCAAAGGUUUCCUCAGAAUGGUUGGAAAUCAUUCAUAGAGUGUAAAGGCAUAAGGAAGCUUGACUGCGAGACUUACAAGUCGAGCAGGGUCGAAAGACGGACUUAGUGAUCCGGUGGUUCCGCAUGGAAGGGCCAUCGCUCAACGGAUAAAAGCUACCCCGGGGAUAACAGGCUUAUCUCCCCCAAGAGUUCACAUCGACGGGGAGGUUUGGCACCUCGAUGUCGGCUCAUCGCAUCCUGGGGCUGUAGUCGGUCCCAAGGGUUGGGCUGUUCGCCCAUUAAAGCGGUACGCGAGCUGGGUUCAGAACGUCGUGAGACAGUUCGGUCCCUAUCCGUCGUGGGCGUAGGAAAUUUGAGAGGAGCUGUUCUUAGUACGAGAGGACCGGGAUGGACAUACCUCUGGUGUACCAGUUGUCGUGCCAACGGCAUCGCUGGGUAGCUAUGUAUGGACGGGAUAAGUGCUGAAAGCAUCUAAGCAUGAAGCCCCCCUCAAGAUGAGAUUUCCCAACUUCGGUUAUAAGAUCCCUCAAAGAUGAUGAGGUUAAUAGGUUCGAGGUGGAAGCAUAGCGAUAUGUGCAGCUGACGAAUACUAAUCGAUCGAAGACUUAAUCAA